UCCUAAAAGUGUCGGCUGUUGUCAUUCUUGUUGCUUCAAGUUCAGUAGCCAUACAUGUCGUGCGAAAGUGGUCUCAAUUAAGUAGUCGGCUAGCUUAUGCAUGGGCGGAGAAACACCAGGCAGUUGUCUUUACUAAAUAUGAUUAGGCUAUAGUUUACUACAUUGCCUAUAAAUAAAUAUUAACACCCAUAUUUUUCUCCGCCUGAAAAUCGUCCCACUCCUAAACGGGCGCAUAAUUGCUGGGACCAUGGCUGGCAAGUGAGCUGCGUCACAUAUGCCUAAACGUUGCGGGACUGGUUGGGUUUGGGACCAGUUCCUGCGGUAACAGGUAACCUCAAGAUGCUUGACUCACUACAGCUGCUUUUGAAGAACGUUCCAGUUGUUUGUGCUUUACAUUCCGACUUUUUAAUGUCUGUUUAUUGGACGUAUAUAUUAGUGUCUAAUAAAAAAGAGCAAUGUAGGUAAA